GUGGGGGAUAUUGCACAAUGGGGGAAACCCUGAUGCAGCGACGCCGCGUGAGGGAAGAAGGUUUUCGGAUUGUAAACCUCUGUCUUCAGUGACGAAAAUGACGGUAACUGAGGAGGAAGCCACGGCUAACUACGUGCCAGCAGCCGCGGUAAUACGUAGGUGGCAAGCGUUGUCCGGAAUUACUGGGUGUAAAGGGAGCGUAGGCGGGAAGACAAGUUGAAUGUGAAAUGCAGAGGCUCAACCUCUGAACUGCGUUCAAAACUGCCAUUCUUGAGUGAAGUAGAGGUAAGCGGAAUUCCUAGUGUAGCGGUGAAAUGCGUAAAUAUUAGGAGGAACACCAGUGGCGAAGGCGGCUUACUGGGCUUUAACUGACGCUGAGGCUCGAAAGCGUGGGUAGCAAACAGGAUUAGAUACCCCAGUAGUCC
rnacentral:rRNA from 1 species